rnacentral:rRNA from 1 species
UACGGAGGGGGCUAGCGUUGUUCGGAAUUACUGGGCGUAAAGGGCGCGUAGGCGGCCCGCUAAGUCAGACGUGAAAUCCCUCGGCUCAACCGGGGAACUGCGUCUGAUACUGGCAGGCUUGAAUCCGGGAGAGGGAUGUGGAAUUCCAGGUGUAGCGGUGGAAUGCGUAGAGAUCCGGAAGAACACCGGUGGCGAAGGCGGCCUGCUGGGCAGUUGCUGACACUGAGGCGCGACAGCGUGGGGAGCAAACAGG